GGUCGUGGCCAAGUCAGGGAUGGCGACUGACUCCAGAUCAGUCGAUCGGGGGUUCAAAUCCCUCCGACC
rnacentral:tRNA from 1 species